ensembl:lncRNA
CAGAACCAGGACAGCUGACCUAGGCUGGCCAAAGGGAUAUUGCAUACCUUGUGACAUCAUGUGAAAAAUAACUUGAAAAAACUGAGUUGGCUGAAGGGCAGCUGCUGCUCAGGGACUGGCUGGUCCGUCUUCAGCAGGUGGAUUCUGAAAGCACCAUGGACUGGACCAUCUUAUCUGAACACGUAAUAGAGCACCUAAGUAUUCCAAGACUCUUCCUUCAUACUGAACAAUAUUUUUAUGAAAUCUUUGGUACUGUGAGUCACCAAAAGAACAAUGUUCCAUGUGUUGAUAUACCUAUUUGUGAAGCAGCACAGUGCAUGCAGAAGGACUGGUGAAGCCUAUUAACAGGGUUUCUAGAACUGAAAACUUAAGGAUAAAUAUCUAAGGAUGGAUACUGGGC